AUGAGGCUAAGAGGCACAUCGGGUGCUGUUAUGAGAGAUGACAAAGGAAACUUCAUAGUAGGUGGUAACUGGAGGAUUCAGUACUACGCGGAUACUCUGACAGCGGAGGCGGUAGCACUCAGAUUUGGCCUAUAG
rnacentral:rRNA from 1 species